rnacentral:rRNA from 1 species
UACAGAGGGUGCAAGCGUUGUUCGGAAUUAUUGGGCGUAAAGCGCGUGUAGGCGGCUUUGCAAGUCGGGCGUGAAAGCCCUCGGCUCAACCGAGGAAGUGCGCCCGAAACUGCGAGGCUGGAGUGCCGGAGGGGAGAGUGGAAUUCCCGGUGUAGCGGUGAAAUGCGUAGAGAUCGGGAGGAAUACCGGUGGCGAAGGCGGUUCUCUGGGCAUGACCUGACGCUGAGGAGCGAAAGUGUGGGGAGCGAACAGG